UACGGAGGAUGCAAGCGUUAUCCGGAUUUAUUGGGGUUAAAGGGUGCGUAGGUGGAAUAGUAAGUCAGAGGUGAAAGCUAGCAGCUUAACUGUUAAAUUGCCUUUGAUACUGCUGUUCUUGAGUGUAGUUGGCGUUGGCGGAAUGUGACAUGUAGCGGUGAAAUGCGUAGAUAUGUCACAGAACACCGAUCGCGAAGGCAGCUAACGAAGCUAUCACUGACACUGAUGCACGAAAGCGUGGGGAGCAAACAGG
rnacentral:rRNA from 1 species